GCCUGGCUGGCUUAGUUGGUAGAGCAUGCGACUCUCGAUCUCGGGGUCGUGGGUUCAAGCCUCACGUUGGACU